AUUGAACGCUGGCGGCAGGCCUAACACAUGCAAGUCGAACGAGUGGCGGACGGGUGAGUAAUGUUUGGGAAACUGGCUGAUGGAGGGGGAUAACGACGGGAAACGGUCGCUAAUACCGCGUACCAUAGGAUGAGCCCAAGUGGGAUUAGGUAGUUGGUGGGGUAAUGGCCGACCAAGCCGACGAUCUCUAGCUGGUCUGAGAGGAUGACCAGCCACACCGGGACUGAGACACGGCCCGGACUCCUACGGGAGGCAGCAGUGGGGAAUAUUGCGCAAUGGGGGCAACCUGACGCAGCCAUGCCGCGUGAAUGAAGAAGGCCUUCGGGUUGUAAAGUUCUUUCGGUGACGAGGCGUUAAUCACAGAAGAAGCACCGGCUAACUCCGUGCCAGCAGCCGCGGUAAUUC
rnacentral:rRNA from 1 species